CUGGAGAGUAACGUUAGGAGGUUUACACACUUGUGCAAGAUGAUAUAAAGCUGGGAGCGGUUGCUGAUACUCCAGAGUGUUGUGCUGCCAUUCAGCGGGUCUUGACAAACUGGAGAAAUGGUGACCAGGAACCACACAAUGUUCACCAAAGGGAAGGAGACUUGGUGUUAAAUGCUGUCUACAGAACAUUUCAUCUUCAGCCUUUUCAACAGAGAUGUCUUUCUCUCUGUGGGAAAUGUGACUAAAAUCAAAGAGUCCGUAAUUGAGGACAAGACCACAAAGAAAGUAGCAGAGAAAAUGAAGGUAUCAAGAAGAAAAGAGACACAUGGGUGAACGAGAAAAGAGAGAAGCUUAACAGCUUUGGUGCAAAGCUGCCAGAAGUUUGACUGACAGGUGAAAGCAGCUCAAGAGACCUGCCUUUUUGAUAAGGACAAAUGAAGAUAUUUUAGGAUUUGAAGUGUAGGUAAUUUUUCAAACGUUGCUUUUAUUACAAAGCUGGACUGGUUAAGACAAACAUGCAGUCCUGGGGGGAUGAUGAUGCUAGAUCAUAUGAGUCAGAUUCUGCCCUCAGAAAUAGUUCUGUAGGCAAGCAUAAGCCAAAUGUAAAAAGUGUGAUUAGAUGCUAAAUUUCAUGCUAAAGAGGAAAAAAAUAGAGUAACUGCCAGCUGUGGAUAAAGUUUUGCAAAUCUCAGUACUCAAGCAAAGUAACUAAAACAUCUGUCAGUGAGGAUUCUCCCAGAGUCCACUAGAUAAUUAGGCAGAGCAAACAAUUAAACAUAAGUCUUAAAUCAUGUCACGGUAUUUUCCUCUGGUUAGGGUGACAUUUGUUUAACACACUUAAGUUUCUCCUAACAAAGUUAGGAAACUAUUACUAGUUUCCAUCAGUGAAUCUGAUUCCGCAUAUGCCUUUGUAAUAAGUAAGUUCACUUGUAGUUCUUGCUCCUUAGUUUUUCUAUUGGUAUAGAUUUUAAUAAUGCAUCAAGAAGUAAUUCCAGUCUAACAAAAACAGAUCAGCAACAGAAAUACUUUCAUUUUAUUGAAAUAGUUGUACUAGAGUAUUGUGUGCUUGACUAUGAAUCAGCUCAAAUUCACUAUCAAGUCUGUAUAAACUAGUAAGAGGUAUCACCUAUUCUGUCAAGUCUACCCUCAUAUCUGGACUUGUUUCCUACACAGAGCCAUCAGAUUCCUGGCUUGGGAAUCUCUAAUACCCUUCCCAACUGUUUGGUAACAUCCCAAGUUCUAUUCUAUUUUCCAUGGCAAAAGCCUGAAGGGGAACAAAACCCAGGAGUUAAAAGCUACAAGUCCAGCAAUGAGAUGUAGUGUCAGAGGUACCGUAUAGUGAAAUGUCCAAAGUGACUAUUUUAGUACUUAAAAUAUUGGUGAAAUUUUAGAUCUGAUUCUGUGGAUGCUUCACUCUUAGAAAAGAUGUGGGCCAGAGCUGGACAGAGUUCAGAAAAAAAGAAAUAGAAAGAUAGAGAUUUUAAAAAAUCAUGUCCUAUGAGUUGAAGGCAGUGUGAUGUUUAGUCUAGAGAAGACUGAGGAGAGGUGUGAUAACAAUGUUUGCUAAUUUUAAGAGAUACUCCAAGGAGGAAGGGAAUAAUGAU